UACGUAGGGUGCAAGCGUUGUCCGGAAUUAUUGGGCGUAAAGAGCUCGUAGGCGGCUUGUUGCGUCGUCCGUGAAAACCCGCAGCUCAACUGCGGGCUUGCGGACGAUACGGGCAGGCUAGAGUUCGGUAGGGGAGACUGGAAUUCCUGGUGUAGCGGUGAAAUGCGCAGAUAUCAGGAGGAACACCGGUGGCGAAGGCGGGUCUCUGGGCCGAUACUGACGCUGAGGAGCGAAAGCGUGGGGAGCGAACAGG
rnacentral:rRNA from 1 species